UGUUUGCCAUCAAACCCCGGUUAGAUACCCCUGGCCUUCGUUCCUGGUUUCGUCUUCAGUAUCUGAAACAUUUAGGGGAAAUUAAUCAGUAAUUACAAUUAAUAUUGAUGGGUUUAAGGUUACAUAUUGUUUGUCUUUUAACUGAACUACACAUCUGGAUGACAGCAGUGUGUUGUCUUGCGCCUUCCCUAACAGGAAGUAGUUUGCACUAAGACUGACAUCUAUUGGUCUAUUUUUGAAAUAGGAUAGAGAUUCGAGUAUUGAAUGUGAUCCAGUUCCAUACAGUAGUCUUUACACUGGCUGAUUUAUUUAAAUGUAUUUGUCUUAAUGAUAACUUCAUCUAUUGGUAAUGUUUGUCUAUUUUUGACCAGUUACAUAGACUGUGUGGCAUUACAGUGUCCCAGCACCUUUUACAGUGUGAUCCCCUUACUUCUUUCAUUGUCCAGCAAUUCAAACCCCCUAUCAAUGUAACAAAUGUUACCUAAUCGCUGCUAACAACUCUCAUGUAUAAUGUAAAAACAGGGUCCGGCUGAAAUAAGACGCCGUUGUUGAAAGAUUAACGCUUCUAAUGUAGUCUGAUAAUUACAGAACAUGACUAAUUUAUUGUCGUUGUAGUCAUUUCUAUUUUCUGAGGGUGCUCUUACACAGAGUGCUUUUAAACUUAGGGUGUCAAACUCAACUUCACUAAGGGCCACACAUGUAUAGUUCAUUGACAUGCUCUUAUUUAACUGAAAAAGUCAAAUAUUUGGAAUGUAUUAUUGCGUGUCUCAUAUAGUCUUCUCACAUACAAUUGGGUCAACAUAAAGCCCUAAAAAAGUGACCAAAGACGUUCC